UACGUAGGGUGCGAGCGUUAAUCGGAAUUACUGGGCGUAAAGCGUGCGCAGGCGGUUCGUUAUGUCCGAUGUGAAAGCCCCGAGCUCAACUUGGGAAUGGCAUUGGAAACUGGCGGGCUGGAGUGUGGCAGAGGGGGGUGGAAUUCCACGUGUAGCAGUGAAAUGCGUAGAGAUGUGGAGGAACACCGAUGGCGAAGGCAGCCCCCCUGGGCCAACACUGACGCUCAGGCACGAAAGCGUGGGGGAGCAAACAGG
rnacentral:rRNA from 1 species